GAUGAACGCUGGCGGCGUGCCUAAUACAUGCAAGUCGAGCGAACAGACGAGAGUGCUUGCACUCUCUGACGUUAGCGGCGGACGGGUGAGUAACACGUGGGUAGCCUACCUAUAAGACUGGGAUAACUUCGGGAAACCGGAGCUAAUACCGGAUAAUAUUUAGCUUCGCAUGAAGCAAUAGUGAAAGACGGUUCUGCUGUCACUUAUAGAUGGACCCGCGGUGUAUUAGCUAGUUGGUGAGGUAACGGCUCACCAAGGCAACGAUACAUAGCCGACCUGAGAGGGUGAUCGGCCACACUGGGACUGAGACACGGCCCAGACUCCUACGGGAGGCAGCAGUAGGGAAUCUUCCGCAAUGGACGAAAGUCUGACGGAGCAAUGCCGCGUGAGUGAAGAAGGUUUUCGGAUCGUAAAACUCUGUUGUAAGGGAAGAACAAGUACGUUAGUAACUGAACGUACCUUGACGGUACCUUACCAGAAAGCCACGGCUAACUACGUG
rnacentral:rRNA from 1 species